rnacentral:lncRNA from 1 species
GUAUUAUCCACGUAGGUGGUAUAGCGUUUUCUACAACUAGUUUGGACAGAGAUCAGUGGUUCUGGUGCGUUUUCUUUGGAGUAGGAACUCUAUUAUGGACGCAGCUUCUUUUAACAUUGCCAACUAGUAAAAUUCCGAAGAUAUUUUCGUGGGGCAGAGGUAAUCCUGAGGAAUGUGUUAGAGCCAUUGCCACGAGUUAGAGCCAUUCCUCGCUUCUCAGGUUUUCUGGAUAAGAGACUAAGGAAAAUCUCAGCCAUAGGUUGAAUGGAAUACCCAGUUUUAUCUAGAUGAUAACUUGAAGACAGAACGAAACCCCCUGCCAGCAUACUUUUACUUGAGAGGAACUAACACUACGGGUUUGAGGAACAAUGUUAGGGUGAAAAAGAUCGCUGAAAUAUUAGUCAAACAUCAGGCACAGGUACCUGUUAUUGUGUGGGAUGAUCUAGAAAAAUAUAGCAGCUACUCCAAAAUAAUUCUGAAGACAACAUCUGAAUUUUAAUCUGGAUUUUAAUUUGGAAGUUACACAAGAUGAUUUGGUUCUAUGGUUGUUGAAUAUAUUUCGACAUGGCCUAGAUCCCAUUUUAGUACCCUAAUAAUAUUUUAAUAAAAUAUUUUUAAAUCGU